UAAAAACUUCCACUUUCCCUCUCAUUACCUCACACGAGCUCGGGAUACUCCAACACUCGCGGGUUUCAGGUCAUAGGUUUUCCUCAACUCUAUUCUCUAAGUCUUUUCUUUUGAGUUUUUACUAUGAAAAGUUUCAUCUAUUGGGGUAAAUUUUUCUGUGACUUGUUCACUUGAUUUACCUAUAAUUGUUCAUUCAUCCCCGAUUUUUUUCUUUCAGUAGACUGUCGGUUCUAUCUUUCAUAUCACUAAUUGUGGUUAUCUUUGUUUAAUAGGUAUGUGUUUGGAAACUAUCAUUAAUUUCUGUUGCCUUCUAUGUACAAUUUGAACCCAUUUGUUUGUGGUUAGGUUUUUUAUUUGGAAUAACAACUGAGAUGAUUAGUUGUGUGAAUAGGUAUAUUCCCUAGCAUUAUUAUGUUGUUUAAACAUUAACCUCACUGUAUCGUAUUAUGUUGAAUUUCAUCCUCAUUGAAUUCUAUUCUAAAUGGCUAAGUUUCCCUUCGUGCUUCUUCUUUGGGUUAAGUUGGGUAGGUGAUCGAAUUGUGAGGAAUUAUCCCUUUUAAGCUGCUUUAAUUUAUUGCAGUGCUGUGCCCUUUUGUUUAAGGCAAAAUUUUUACAAUCAUAGAUGUGUUUAUAUAUAAUCUUUUCAACCUUUGGAGUCAGUUGAGUACGAAAAUUAGCAAUGUACAGACAAUCAAAGAUUCCUUUGCUCAAUUUAGUUUUGAAGUUUAGGUUUAAAUUCUCUGCUCUCACUCAUUAGUCAAAACCAGAGCAUUCUGAUCUUGUCUAUUAGUUGUCAUCACGUGUGGAACAGAAUAAUGUAGGUGACAAUUCAACAAAUGUGUUAUAUGUAUUGGAUAUAAAAUUUCAGAGUUACCGAGAAAGAUCUUUUUUGUUGAUUUGUAACACUUCUUUGGCUAUUUUGUUUUGGCUCAGUCAAGGGGAAGGAGACAUAAGUAAGGUUGUAAAAUUUAAUUCAAUUUUUCACUAUCCAUAUGCCAUCUUUUCAACUUCAUCAUCAAAGUUCAUAUUGAAUGUCAUCUCUGCAGCUCUUCUAUCCCAAUAAUAGAUUCUGUAGGAUUUCGUUUUCUUUUUCAACUCUUAUUGAUCAUUAAUUCUAAAUGUGAAAAAUAUUGCAAGAAGAAAAAUGUUAAUAAAUUAUAACUGUUUAGGCCAAUCAAAUGGUCUUACUGGCAACUAAUUGUGAGGUACUACUAGAGAGGCUAAAAGAAUGAAAAUAAAAGAAGAUCUAAUGUAUAUUAUAGAAGAACCAAAUUUUAUAUCAAUUAAUGUUGCCCGAACUUGGUACAAGGAAGAUCCUUUCAUUUUUUCAACACAACCCGUUCAAGUGUUCUAUAUGGAUGACUUGAAACAAGGAGCCAACUGGAAAGUCGUACAAAAGGCCACUCCUCGUCAUAUAUGGGAUUUAGUUGAGAGUGCUGAUGAGUGUAAUAAUGAUGAUGAAGAAAUUGACAAUUCUAGUGUUGUUCAACAAGAUAGCUCAUCUAUGGAUGUUCGACUUUUGAUUGAAGAUGAUGAUUUGGACAGUAGACUCUAUGCUUGUAUUGAUGUUCCGCUUGAACAAGUAGAUGAGGAAAACAUCGAUGUAUUUGACAUGGAAGAGGACUUCUAGUUUGAAGUUGAUGACAAGGAUGAUGAGAAAGAUUCCGAAAUAUCUGAUACGGAGUUAGAAUUCAUUUUCGAUGGUGAUAGCGAUUGACGUCACUUCCAUAUAGUAAUCCAUAGUUUCUUUUCAUGAUCAUUAUAAGACUCUUUGUUAUGCAUUAUGAUAUUUUCCGUCUUCACUAUUAUUUUACAUAUUUUGUAGGUGUUAAGGCAAAUUUGUUGUCAAACAACCUCCUCAGGCUAUGAUGUUACUCGGUUUAAUUUUUCAGUGGCCUAGUCAAAUGACUGAACCGGAAUCCAACACCACAUUCGAGACGAUACAACCCAAAGGUCAAUUGGACCACUCGAAGCAACCUAAAUACUUUAGUGUUGCUCGUGGCCCAAUCCACUCCCUUGGAUGGCCUUUAAUUGAGAGACAAGCUUGUGAGCCCACUUAACUAUCUUUUGGGCCUUUAACCUAACUCAUUAGUUAGCCUACUUAAACUUAUCUUAUUUAGGCUAUUGGUAAACAGGUUAAAUUGGCUUCUUUUCUCUCUAAGUGAGAGAUGUCUGACCUCUCUCUCUCUUGGCCGGUUUUCUGUGAUUUCUCUUCAACUCUUCUGCCUCUUUGUGGAUACCAUCUUAGUGGUGAUGUUAAAUGAGAUUUCUUCUACCUUUGUGGUCUCAAUAGUGGAAUAUCUCAUUGGAAACCGGAAGUGGAACUUGGUAUUGUCUUGGUUCGUAGUUGUCGGCUUUGUGGUGUUGAAAGUACCCGUAUAAACUUACUUGGGUUUUCUUUGGUGAUUAAUACUAUCACCUUACAUCUGGUAUCAGAGCUUAGGACUUCAAUUUCUGUCAAAAAGGUUCAAAAUCGAGAGAAAUAGGCGCUAAUCUCCAAACUGAACGAACCCUAUUCUUCCAAUUACUCCCAAACCCGACCUAAUUUGGACAAACGGAGCUCAGACCGAUAACCAGCAGGUCGAGGCACCCCCUGUGAGGUGGCGCGUGGUGGUGAUGGCGGCGGUGCGUGGGAGGUCCUGCAACGUAAUUUUUUCUGUCAUUUCGUUUGUUUCAUUUUCCUGAACGCUUUGAUGUGUUUGGCUUAGUGUUUCAGGUUGUGUAGGAAAAGUUAGACGAUUUUGCCCCUAACCUCAAUCUGUAUUUGUUGCCGAUCGUAAUUGUUAUAUUUGCUGAAUCUUUAGGGUUAAUAGUGGUGGCCCUAAAGUAACAAAUUCGUAUCUCUCCACGUUACGAACUCAGAUAGGUCCUUUGACACCAAGGUGGAGGUUGUUAGACAAAUUUGUUGUCAAACGACCUCCCUCGGGCUAUGAUGUUACUCGGUUUAAUUUUUCAGUCGGUUUAGCCAAAUGACUGAACGGGAAUCCAAUACCACAUUCAAAACGAUACAACCCAAAGGUUAAUUGGGCCACUCGAAGCAACUUAAAUACUUUAGUGUUGCUCGUAGCCCAAUCCACUCCCUUGGAUGGCAUUUAAUUGAGAGAAAAGCUUGUGAGCCCACUUAACUAUCUUUUGGGCCUUUGGCCUAACCCGUCAGUUAACCUACUUAAACUUACCUUAUUUGGGCUAUUGGUAAAAAGGUUAAAUUGGUUUCUUUUCUCUCUAAGUGAGAGAUGUCUCACCCCUCGCUCUCUCUUGGCCGGUUUUCUAUGAUUUCUCUUCUACUCUUCUGCCUCUUUGUGGAUACCAUCUUAGUGGUGAUAUUAAAUGAGAUUUCUUCUACCUUUGUGGUCUCAAUAGUGGAAUAUCUCAUUGGCAAUCGGAAGUGGAGCUUGGUAUUGUCUUGGUUCGUAGUUGUCGGCUUUGUGGUGUUGGAAGUGGGUAUAAACUUAGCCUGGGUUAUCUUUGGUGAUCAAUACCAUCACCUUACAGUAGGUUAUUCCAUUGCCACCAGAAAAGAAGCUACCAUCCCAAGACCUAUGAAUGGUCCAGCCUGCACCAGUCAAUGUGCCAACAAAGAUAGCCAUGACCUCGAACUUCCAAGACCAGAGGGAAUUGUAUUAAGUCCAGGAAUACAAAAAAGGUACUCGGAGGCCUCCUAAGUUUGUUUAGAACUUUCUUAUCUGCCUUCCACUUCUGGGUCUACCUUGUAUCUACUUUGGUGAAUGUCUUUCUCUUCCCAGCUUCCAUGAAAUUGAAAAGAUAAUCAGAAUACAUUACUUUGACAUCUCAAAGGAAGUGAAGCAAAGAGUGAGAAAGUUGAGUUUGUACAGCUAUUUUCUUCUUCUUAGUUAUUAGAAAGAAAAAUACAGAUGUUGUCAAUGUUCGUUAGAUGUCAUCUAACUACUAAUUUCUCAGUGUAUAAUUUUUUGAAACAUGACUACAUUACAUGGUUCUUAUGAAAAAUCAAAAUGAAAUGUCACUCACUUCAUUUUCUAUCGACUACAGAUUGGAAAGUCACUCUUCCAUAUAUUGAAUGUUUCAUUGACAUGUACGUGUAUCCUUAAUGAUCUAAGUUGCUAGCAUUCUGAUCUUGGUUGCUUACAAUAGGAGCUUCAUAUUCCAAUACAUUUUUGUGAAUUAAGCUAUGGAAGAACAUACAUUACAGGGAUACAAAAGGCUGGAUCCAUCCCGUGACUAAGGAGAAAUAUGUAAUGAAACUAGUCUUAUCAAAAUUUUGGAACUUAGCUAGGCUUUUUAUUUUGGAUUCCAUUAUAGUUUAGACUGUGUUUUUAUGGUUGGAAUUGGAAUUGACUUGUAAAGAUGCUAUAUAUUAUUUUGCCUCGUAAAUAUUUUGCUAGAGGCUUUUGGUUGUGACUA